GCAAGAAUGGUUUAGUGGUAAAAUCCAACGUUGCCAUCGUUGGGCUCCGGGUUCGAUUCCCGGUUCUUGCA
rnacentral:tRNA from 1 species